UGGCGCACGGGUGCGUAACGCGUGGGAAUCUGCCCAAAGGUUCGGAAUAACAGUUAGAAAUGACUGCUAAUACCGGAUAAUGUCGCAAGACCAAAGAUUUAUUGCCUUUGGAUGAGCCCGCGUAGGAUUAGCUAGUUGGUGGGGUAAAGGCCUACCAAGGCGACGAUCCUUAGCUGGUCUGAGAGGAUGAUCAGCCACACUGGAACUGAGACACGGUCCAG
rnacentral:rRNA from 1 species